AUMAUUCNAUGASGUNSSAKGCGUGMUGCUGUGAUUNCUCCUUCGAAGUUAGCGGCGGACGGGUGAGUAACACGUGGGUAACCUGCCCAUAAGACUGGGAUAACUCCGGGAAACMGGGGCUAAUACCGGAUAACAUUUUGAACUGCAUGGUUCGAAAUUGAAAGGCGGCUUCGGCUGUCACUUAURGAURGACCCGCGUCGCAAUAGCUAGUUGGUGAGGUAACGGCUCACCARGGCAACGAUGCGUAGCCGACCUGAGAGGGUGAUCGGCCACACUGRGACUGAGACACGGCCCASACUCCUACGGGAGGCAGCAGUAGGGAAUCUUCCGCARUGGACGAAAGUCUGACRGAGCAACGCCGCGUGAGUGAUGAGGGCUUUCRGGUCGUAAAACUCUGUUGUUAGGGAAGAACAAGUGCUAGUUGAAUAAGCUGGCACCUUGACGGUACCUAACCARAAMGCCACGGCUAACUACGUGCCAGCAGCCGCGGUAAUACGUAGGUGGCAAGCGUUAUCCGGAAUUAUUGGGCGUARAGCGCGCGCAGGUGGUUUCUUAAGUCUGAUGUGAAAGCCCACGGCUCAACCGUGGAGGGUCAUUGGAAACUGGGAGACUUGAGUGCAGAAGAGGAAAGUGGAAUUCCAUGUGUAGCGGUGAAAUGCGUAGAGAUAUGGAGGAACACCAGUGGCGAAGGCGACUUUCUGGUCUGUAACUGACACUGAGGCGCGAAAGCGUGGGGAGCAAACAGGAUUAGAUACCCUGGUAGUCCACGCCGUAAACGAUGAGUGCUAAGUGUUAGAGGGUUUCCSCCCUUUAGUGCUGAAGUUAACGCAUUAAGCACUCCSCCUGGGGAGUACGGCCGCAAGGCUGAAACUCAAAGGAAUUGACGGGGGCCCGCACAGCGGUGGARCAUGUGGUUUAUUCGAASCACGCGAAAACCUUACMAGGUCUUGACUCCUCURAAACCCUAAAAAWGGGCUUCYCUUCGGGACAAAURACNGGKGGUCAUGGUUKCSYCMCYCKGUCGGAA
rnacentral:rRNA from 1 species